rnacentral:rRNA from 1 species
GAUGAGCGCUGGCGGCGUGCUUAACACAUGCAAGUCGAACGGAAAGGCUCCUGCUUGCAGGGGUACUCGAGUGGCGAACGGGUGAGUAACACGUGGGUGAUCUGCCCUGCACUUCGGGAUAAGCCUGGGAAACUGGGUCUAAUACCGGAUAGGACGAUGGUUUGGAUGCCAUUGUGGAAAGUUUUUUCGGUGUGGGAUGAGCUCGCGGCCUAUCAGCUUGUUGGUGGGGUAAUGGCCUACCAAGGCGUCGACGGGUAGCCGGCCUGAGAGGGUGUACGGCCACAUUGGGACUGAGAUACGGCCCAGACUCCUACGGGAGGCAGCAGUGGGGAAUAUUGCACAAUGGGCGCAAGCCUGAUGCAGCGACGCCGCGUGGGGGAUGACGGCCUUCGGGUUGUAAACUCCUUUCGCUAGGGACGAAGCGCAAGUGACGGUACCUGGAGGAGAAGCACCGGCUAACUACGUG